AGUGAACGCUGGCGGCAGGCCUAACACAUGCAAGUCGAACGGCAGCACAGUAAUAGCUUGCCUCUACGGGUGGCGACUGGCGGACGAGUGAGGAAUAAAUCGCAGUCUACUGAUGCUUGGGUGCAAACGUAGGGAAAAGUACGCUAACACCCCAUACGUCCUACGGGUGUAAUCAUCGGAUCUUCAGACCUUGCGUGAUUCUAAUAGCUGAUGUCGGAUUAGCUAGUUAGCGGGGUAAAGGCCCACCAAGGCGACGAUCCGUAGCUGGUCUGAGAGGAUGAUCAGCCACACUGGAACUGAGACACGGUCCAGACUCCUACGGGAGGCAGCAGUGGGGAAUAUUGGACAAUGGGCGAAAGCCUGAUCCAGCCAUACCGCGUGAGUGAAGAAGGCCUUCGGGUUGUAAAGCCCUUUUGUUGGGGAAGAAAAGCAGCAGGUUAAUACCUCGCUGUUCUGACGGUACCCAAAGAAUAAGCACCGGCUAACUUCGUG
rnacentral:rRNA from 1 species